AGUGAAGCGGCAACAGCUCAAAUUUGAAAUCUGGCACUUUCAGUGUCCGAGUUGUAAUUUGUAGAGGAUGUUUCGGUCACGACCUCGGGAUAAAUUUCUUGGAACAGAAUGUCAUAGAGGGUGAGAACCCCGUCUUGACUCGAGUGUACGGGCCAUGUGAAACUCCUUCGACGAGUCGAGUUGUUUGGGAAUGCAGCUCAAAAUGGGUGGUAAAUUUCAUCUAAAGCUAAAUAUUGGCCAGAGACCGAUAGCGCACAAGUAGAGUGAUCGAAAGAUGAAAAGCACUUUGAAAAGAGAGUUAACAGUAUGUGAAAUUGUUGAAAGGGAAGCGCUUGCAACCAGACUUGAGCGCGGCGGUUCCCCCUGGCUUUUGCUUGGGUUACUCCGUCGUGUCCAGGCCAACAUCGGUUUCGGGGGUUGGUUAAAGGCCUUGGGAAUGUAUCUACCCUUCGGGGUCGACUUAUAGCCCAGGGUGUCAUGCAACCUCCCGGGACCGAGGAACGCGCUUCGGCUCGGAUGUUGGCGUAAUGGUUGUCAGCGACCCGUCUUGAAACACGGACCAAGGAGUCUAACAACUAUGCGAGUGUUCGGGUGUUAAACCCUUGCGCGUAAUGAAAGUGAACGGAGGUAAGAAGCUUCGGCUGCAUUAUCGACCGAUCCUGAAGUUUACGGAUGGAUUUGAGUAAGAGCAUAGCUGUUGGGACCCGAAAGAUGGUGAACUAUGCGUGAAUAGGGUGAAGCCAGAGGAAACUCUGGUGGAGGCUCGCAGCGGUUCUGACGUGCAAAUCGAUCGUCAAAUUUGCGUAUAGGGGCGAAAGACUAAUCGAACCAU
rnacentral:rRNA from 1 species